CCAGCAGCUGCGGUAAUUCCAGCUCUAAUAGUAUAUAUUAAAGUUGUUGCAGUUAAAAAGCUCGUAGUCGAAUUUCGGGCUCGUGUGGGCGGUCGGCUUAGGUCGAAUUGCCUGUGCGGGCCUUUCUGCUUGGGAGUCCUGGUAGGUUAACCCUUAUCUGUGAGUCACAGGCCGUUUACUUUGAAAAAAUUAGAGUGUUCAAAGCAGGCCUACGCUUGAAUACAUUAGCAUGGAAUAAUGGAAUAGGACUUUGGUGCUAUUUUGUUGGUUUAUGGGACCGAAGUAAUGAUUAACAGGGACAGUUGGGGCCGUUUAUAUUUCGUUGUCAGAGGUGAAAUUCUUGGAUUUACGAAAGAUAAACUUCUGCGAAAGCAUUCGGCAAGGAUGUUUUCAUUGAUAAAGAACGAAAGU
rnacentral:rRNA from 1 species